rnacentral:rRNA from 1 species
GGAUCAUUAACGAGUUAGGGUCUCUCCAGGCCCGACCUCCCAACCCUUUGUCUACCUUGCUGCAUGUUGCUUUGGCGGACCCGUCUCACGACCGCCCUGGGACCGCCGAGAGGUGUCCCUAGGCCCGUGUCCGCCGAUAGCCAACCUAAACUCUUGGAUGAAUCGUGUUUUAUGUCUGAGUCUUGUGAUUAAAUCAAAAGCAAAAACUUUCAACAACGGAUCUCUUGGUUCUGGCAUCGAUGAAGAACGCAGCGAAAUGCGAUAAGUAAUGCGAAUUGCAGAAUUCCCGUGAGUCAUCGAAUCUUUGAACGCACAUUGCGCCCUUUGGUAUUCCAAAGGGCAUGCCUGUUCGAGCGUCAUUAUCACCCCUCAAGCCCCGUGCUUGGUGUUGGACGGAUCUUGGUCGUGUGAUCGCGACCCCUCCUAAAGACAAUGACGGCGGCCUGUGGAUCCCCCGGUACACUGAGCUUUUAACUGAGCACGUAUCGGACAAGGGCGCCCAGGACCCGGUCCUUCUCCUUUAACCAGGAAAUUUCUUCAAGGUUGACCUCGGAUCAGGUAGGAAUACGCGCUGAACUUAAGCAUAUCAAUAAGCGCAGGAAAAGAAACCAACAGGGAUUGCCUCAGUAACGGCGAGUGAAGCGGCAACAGCUCAAAUUUGAAAUCUGGCCUCUCGGGGUCCGAGUUGUAAUUUGUAGAGGAUGUUUUGGGUACCGCCCCGGUCUAAAUUUCUUGGAACAGAAUGUCAGAGAGGGUGAGAAUCCCGUCUUGGACCGGCGGUAGGGCCUGUGUAAAACUCCUUCGACGAGUCGAGUUGUUUGGGAAUGCAGCUCAAAAUGGGUGGUAAAUUUCAUCUAAAGCUAAAUAUUGGCCAGAGACCGAUAGCGCACAAGUAGAGUGAUCGAAAGAUGAAAAGAACUUUGAAAAGAGAGUUAAACAGUAUGUGAAAUUGUUGAAAGGGAAGCGCUUGCAACCAGACUUGAGCGCGACGGUUCCCCUAGCCUUUUGGCUAGGUUACUCUGUCGUGUCCAGGCCAACAUCGGUUCUGAGGGCCGGUCAAAGGCCCCGGGAAUGUACCUACCCACGGGUAGACUUAUAGACCGGGGUGUCAUGCGGCCUCUCGGGACCGAGGAACGCGCUUCGGCUCGGAUGUUGGCGUAAUGGUUGUCAGCGACCCGUCUUGAAACACGGACCAAGGAGUCUAACAUCUAUGCGAGUGUUUGGGUGUCAAACCCGGAACGCGGAAUGAAAGUGAACGGAGGUAGGAAGCUUCGGCUGCACUAUCGACCGAUCCUGAAGUUUACGGAUGGAUUUGAGUAAGAGCAUAGCUGUUGGGACCCGAAAGAUGGUGAACUAUGCCUGAAUAGGGUGAAGCCAGAGGAAACUCUGGUGGAGGCUCGCAGCGGUUCUGACGUGCAAAUCGAUCGUCAAAUUUGGGUAUAGGGGCGAAAGACUAAUCGAACCAU